GGGAUCGAAACUUAAACAUGGCGGUGCUUUGGGAGAGCUCUGGGGAUCGCCCCGUGGCGGCCCGCGAGUCUAGGCAGAGGGAGGGAGCGCGGUGGGGGCAGUUGCGGGCCCUGCUCUGCGCGCCGCGCAGCGUGCCUCGUGGAGUACAAUGCUUUGAAUCCCUGGUUUGUCAGCUUGAACGUCACGAGUGCCAAAAAUAGAUAGCUGAACAUUUGCUCAGCCCAGGACGGCGUCGAAAUGAACUCUCCUGCCUACACUCAACCCGUUUGGAAAUCUGUACAGACCGCAUAUAUUUUCCCUUCUGAAGCAGCCGGUGGGGCUGCAGACAGACCUCCCUUCAUCCCCUGCCACAGAGAAAGGCAGAAAAAUAAAUCUCCCCUUUCUCUGUGCCUGAGCAAAAGAAUUCAUCCCUGCAGCCAGAGAGGAAGACUUUGCCUUUUCCAGUGCCACAGAUAAAUGUGUAAACAAAGACAUUUCCUGUGCUGGUACAAAGAAAUAAACACUUUCCCUAGCCCCUCCUGUCGCACAGAGAAAACAAUCCUACCUUUUCCCGCCCACGCCCACCCAACCUUUUCCCUUCACCGCAGCAGCAGGCGAGCUUUGUUCCCUCGAUAUCCCCCAGAUGUACCCAGGCACCCCAAAUUUCCCUUCCCUUCACUGUCAGGGCUUUAAAUGCUGCUUUCUGGUGUCUCUUGGUAUUUUCCUAUUGUUUUCACAAACAGCGUGUGCGCAUCAAAGGUAUCUAAAUAACUUUCAGCGUCAGUGUUCUUUGUGAGAUACCCUCAACAUUCAGGGAAUGGUGGAGGAAAAGGGCUUGCAGGAUUUCUUACUUCACUUAAAGGAUGUGUGUUCUCUGACUGUCAAGUCACAGACGGCUUCAUGCAUGUUCUGGGAUUAGUUACAACUAAACAUGGAGAUAAGGGAAAGCUUGCAUCCUAUUUCAAAACCCUUCCAGUCAGACAGACACCUAAACAGCCUUGCACAUGGGAAGGUGCUAGCUCAGCCGAACGCAGGCUGUUCACCACAGUGGCCACUUGAAGAAGAGGGGGAAGAAGUUGGGCUGCGGAUGGGAUCAGAAAGCUGCUCACCACAAGGAAAAAGGAAGAAUGCAUCUGUCCUGAUGAGGCUUAGGAUGGGCUGUUACAGAUCCUGGGGAUGUAGAUGGAACAUCCUGAUGCCGCUUUGCUCAUAACAGAAGGAGGACCUGAGAUGAGAGUGCCUCAGAAGUACCAGACAUUUUGAAUGUGAGAACUGCCCUGGGAGACUCAGUCUCACUGCUGAGGUGAAGGGAAUGAACUAUGUGGAUCUCUGGGAAUCUCCAGUCACACACGAAUGACACACAAAGUUGACAGCUAAGCUUGAAUGAACAUUAACUGUUCUUGCUUCUGGAGAAUAUUUUGCCACAUUUUGCCUGCUGCUUGCAAAUUGUAUUGUGAUUGCUGCUGGGUAGAACAACCUUUGCAUCAAUUGGAAAGAUCAGGCUGUGGUGAUUAUUGAGAAAAAUGACAAUGCGAAAAAAAAGUUAUAAAAAAACACCAACCAAGGCACGUUAUUGAAUCUGCCUGACUGCUAGCUUACUUUCCACUCUCCAUAGCAGAAAAUAAAUAUGUAACUCAGAAAUUAACAGUAGAUACACAAAUCGUGCCUCCCAGAGCUAUUAGCCAUUUAUUUCUGAGCAUAAUCUCAUUUAUUUUUAUAACUCUUACCUUGAUUCCAAAUGAAAUGCGUGAUGUUGUAACUAACUUCAUCCUGAUCUCACAGCUAAUCUACAUUGCCUUUGUAUGCAACAUGAUUUAGCUGGAGAGGAUUAUUUUGUUCCGAUAAUGGUAAAACUGGUAAUAAUAUUCUGCAUAUUCACCACGGUGUUUCCCCUGAAACAUGGGACCAACUGAUUCCAUUCAGUGCUUCUCAUUCACAUCUGAUCCUAUUUCAUUUUACUCUGUCAGGGAUACUCUAGUUCCUAAUGACACCAGCACCAGAGGUUUUAGGCACUGCAUUAAAACAUAGGCAGCUGAGAGGAGAAACACUUUGCUGCCUCUGUCACAGACCGAAAGAGAUACAGAGCAUAAAAGGUGGGGCAAAGCCAGGCUCAGUGAGAUUAUUCAUGUGACUGUGUCAAUGGAACUGGAUCUGCCCGAGUGCCUUUGUAUUCUAUUGGAUGAAAGGAGUUACGCUCAGGUGAAUGUUACUUAUUAGGAUGGAAUCCAUUUCUUUUGUUCUUGAUUAUUCCAAAACACUUCUGGCAGCACAACAGUAAAUUCAAAAGUGAAUAAAUUCAUUUGUUUGAUGUUCAGGGCUGAACACUGAGAAAUACAUAAGUUUCAUUUUGGUCAGGUUAAAGGUUAGAUGUAUUUUUCUUUAUGUCACUGUUUACCUGGCCAGUGAAAUAAAAUCUGUGUUUACACAAGAUUAAGUAUCAGCUUAGUAUAUGUUUUGUAUGAUAUUUAAUGUAUCAGAGCCACACUUUAAAGCUAUUGAGAGUAAAGGC